CUCACCGGCGGCGAGGAUGGUCCGACAGGGGGUCGAGGAUGUGCAGCGGUCGCCGGUAGACACAAUGGUGCUUUUGAUUGGUGUGGAGGCAACCCAAAGGAGACUGGCCACAGGCAUGAUGGCUUGGCGUGCUUAGUGACAGUGUCAGGGCUCCUCCAGUGAGAUCGAACUUCAGGGAAACUACACGUGCGACUACACAGGACUAGGUGAGGACAAUGGUGAGCUCAUUUCGCGAUGUAGGUGGAUGGAGGCAAUGGUGG
rnacentral:lncRNA from 7 species